rnacentral:rRNA from 1 species
CACAUCUGUACGAGCAAUUCUAUAUUAUUAUAGAACUUUUUAUGUUAAAACUAGUAACAAGAAGACCCUUCUCUUUUAUGCAAGCAUAAGUCAGCUAGGACCUACCACUGACAAUUAACACCUCUGAGUCCACAGUAGAAACACCACAAGAAAACCCUACUACACUUUGCGUUAACCUAACACAAGAGCAUAACAAGAAAGAUUAAAAGAAAAAGAAGGAACUCGGCAAACAUUAACCCCGCCUGUUUACCAAAAACAUCGCCUCUUGACCACCUUAUAAGAGGUCCAGCCUGCCCAGUGACUCUGUUCAACGGCCGCGGUAUCCUAACCGUGCGAAGGUAGCGUAAUCACUUGUUCUUUAAAUGGGGACUAGUAUGAAUGGCACCACGARGGUUAUACUGUCUCCUUUUUCUAAUCAGUGAAACUAAUCUUCCCGUGAAGAAGCGGGAAUAAAGCUAUAAGACGAGAAGACCCUAUGGAGCUUUAAACAAACAUACACCUGCCUUUCUCCCUGAAAAUUUCAGAAAAAAACCAUUAUUUAGGCAUCUUGAUAUAAAGUUUUAGGUUGGGGUGACCACGGGGUAAAAAAUAACCUCCGCAAUGAAAGGGGCUUUACCCCUAAACUAAGGACUACGAUCCUAAGAAUCAAAAAAUUGACACCAAUUGMCCCAAUAUAUUUGAUCAAUGAACCAAGUUACCCUAGGGAUAACAGCGCAAUCCACUUCAAGAGCCCCUAUCGACAAGUGGGUUUACGACCUCGAUGUUGGAUCAGGGUAUCCUAGUGGUGCAGCCGCUACUAACGGUUCGUUUGUU